UUCUAAGGAUAAACAAUGUCUCGCAUACACUAUCAGAAAUUAGGUCUAUCGCAAUGAAAUUUUUAGCGAUGGUUGCAAAAGUAUUGCGAUAAAUGGCCUGUAACCGUUGCAAAAAAAAUUAUUGGGUAAAAAUAUAUCUAUUGCAAUGGUUUUAUUAAUUUCCUUUCUAAAAUUUCAAAAGUCCGCUCUAAGCAAUUUUAAGAAAACCCUUCCACUCUCAAACCUAUUCUCUGUCAAUUUGCUCUCUCAAAACAUUUCUUGUCUCUCAAGAUUUGCUCAAUCUCUCAAAUCAUUUCUCUCUCGAUUUGUACCUCAAUUUGCAAUUAGGACUAAUUGCAUUUUGGUGGGUUAACCACAGAAAAUGCCGGUGGAGAUCGAGGAUAUUAUUCUAUAAAAAAAUUUACUUGUAGCGCUAGUUGGUUCAAUGGAAAAUGAUACACGUAUUGUGCAUUUGGAGAUGACGGCGGCGGAGAUUUUAAGCAAGGGUAAACAAUUAAGGUUGUCUAGGGAUUUGAUGGAGCAGGUUUUGAUUCGCCGACUUUUGGUAAUUAUGUAUCGGCAAAACCCCCUUUUCAGUGUUUGGUAUUACUUCUCAGAGAUGAUAUGUCUGACGAUAUGUGUGGCCAGGAGGUCACAGUUUCAAGCCGUGAAAGUAGCCUGUUGUAGAAAUGCAUGGAAAGGCUGCGUACAAUAGACCCUUUGGCCCUUCCCAGACCCAAUGCGUAACAGGAGCUUUAGUGCAUUAGGCUGACCUUUGCCAUUUCAGAUUAUAUCCAUAUCACGUGGUAUGAUUUUCUGUUAUAUAAAAGGAAAGACGGUAAAGCAACACGUUCACGAGUUUCCAUGAUGCCCAUUGGGACACCAAAGGUUCCCUAUAGAAAUCCAAUUAAGGGAACAUGGCAACGGGUUGAUUUGUGAAAUGCUCUUAAGAGAUAAAUGAAGAAUUUAGCUACCAGAUAUUGGCAACAACGCUGUACCUUGACACUAUUGAUGAUUCCAAGAGUAUCUACCUGUAUAUCAAUGGCCCUGGUGGUGAUGUUCACCAUACAGCUUCUCAUUUACUUCAAUCAGCACUCAAAAGAGUAAUUGGUCAGGAAACAUCUCAAGCAGGAUCAAUGGGUGCUUUUGAUCGUCUUAGAUUUGACUUCAACUUCCAUCGACCUCUUCUAGACAAGGAACUCGUAGAAAUUGAAGGUUUGAUCAACCAAUGGAUCGGUGAUGGCAUGAUUUUGGAAACAAAAGUCAUGUCUUUAACUGAUGCAAAAGGAGCUGGGGCAAUUGCAAUGUUUGGAGAAAAAUAUGGAGAACAGGUGGGGAUACUUACCAUUUUAUGUUAAUAUGUUAAGAAUGUGAUGAUUAUAGAACAAGGGAGAUUCUUCUGGCUGCUAUCUUUUUGCUAAAUUUUGCUAUUAAAGCUGAUAUAUGGAGCGACCAACAAUCCUCUUUUAUGAGUCGGUGAGAAAUAGUGAUUAGACUGUACACCAGUCCAUUCUGAGGAUUAAGUCUGAUAGUGAGAUUUUAACCAUGUAUUAAAGUUCAACUUGAAUUAUAAGAUUAUUAAUGAAUGAUUUUGUUUUGUAAUGUGUA